rnacentral:ncRNA from 1 species
UAAAGAUUUAUUAUAUUUUUUAUUUACAUGUAAAUAAAAGUAGGAAUUUAAAAUUAAUUUUAAGAGUUAUUUUUAGGUUUUAUAUUCGCAGUAUUAAGUUUUAUUAAUUUAAUAAGUUAAGAAUUAUAAAUAAAUUAUAGUAUUGACAAAACUUGUGCCAGCAGUUGCGGUUAUACAAGAAAUGCAAAUAAAUUUUAUUGGUUAAUAAUUAAAUUGUGUUUAUUAAUUAAAAUUAAUUAUAUAAAGUGAAAUUUAAUAAUUAAAAUAUUUAUAAUAAAAUUAAUUGAAUUUAUUAGAUUUAAAUUUUAAACUAGGAUUAGAUACCCUAUUAUUUUAAAUGUAAAUUUGUAUACCAAAGUAGUAUUAGUUAUGUUCUUUAAAUUUAAAGAUUUUGGCGGUAUUUUAGUCUAUUUAGAGGAACCUGUCCUAUGAUCGAUAGUCCACGAUAAAUUUUACUUUAUUUAAUUAGUUUGUAUAUCGUCGUUAAUAAGUAUUUUAAAAGAAUUUGAAUAUUUAAUAUUUUUUAUAAUAAUAUAUUUCAGAUCAAGGUGCAGCUUAUAUUAAAGGAGAGAUGGGUUACAAUAAGAUUAUUUAUACGGAUUUUUUUUAUAAAAAUAAUAAUGAAGGUGGAUUUAAUAGUAAUAAAAUUUAAAUAUAUUUUAUGAUUUUAGCUCUAAAAUGUGUACAUAUCGCCCGUCGCUCUUAUUAUAAGAUAAGAUAAGUCGUAACAAAGUAGAUGUACUGGAAAGUGUAUCUAGAAAGUC